UUGCAAUGUCAAACAUUCCAGCAUACGAUGAAAGAAGUAUUUUACCUUGAGCCACAUAACAAACAACAUAUGCAAUGUGACACAGUGACAACCCAUUGACAAGAUGCCUAACUUUGACCUACAUACCAAAUCAGAUAUGCACUGCAACGUGGUAAAGGGCUACUGCUACUAUAAGAUUUCUAAACUCAAAUAACUAUUGAUGAGUCCUAUUCUGUAACCUUUCCAUCAAGCAGAAAAUGACAAAGUCAAAAUAAUAAGUGUCUAAUUAUUAGGACAAUGAAAAGUGCAUCAAUUUCAUCCUCUGCUUUCCUAAAUUUAUAACAAGAAAUACACAUUGCAUUUUAUGCCAGCCCAAGCAUCAGACAGAAUAACGGUACGAUAAGCAAAAAUAUAUUCAAAAGUUAAUCAGGUUAGAGGGGAAAAAAAAAUGCACAUCAUUAAGAAUGACAACAAUAUAAGUAAUAGGAGUAACUUCAAGAGAGAUCAAGUUAAGUAAUAAAGGCUAAUGGCAGAAUUGUAUUGUAAGUGGCUAGGAGAUGGUUCAACUCUGAAGGACCAAAGAGGCAUAUUUUAAAGUUGCCAUCAGCUAACAGUCGCAAUCUAUUGCAACCAGCA
rnacentral:misc_RNA from 1 species